rnacentral:RNase_P_RNA from 3 species
GAGAGUAGGCGAGGUGGUUGCGGAUUGAUAAAUUUUAUUAGUCUGAGGAAAGUCCGGACUCCCGAAAGACCAAACUUGCUGGAUAACGCCCAGUGUACGCGAGUAUGAGGAGAGUGCCACAGAAAAAUACCGCCAAUUGGUCAUUGGUCAUUAGUAAAUAAGGACGAGUGACAAAUGACAAAAUUGGUAAGGGUGCAAAGGUGCGGUAAGAGCGCACCAGCAGCAUCGAGAGGUGCUGGCUCGGUAAACCCCGGUUGGGAGCAAGGUCGGAGGGAACUAUGGUUGGUCUUUUUCCAGUCCCGUUUUAGAGAACCGCUUGAGGUGUCUGGUAACAGACAUCCUAGAUAGAUAACCGCCUGUAUGAGAGUUAGCUAAGCUAAUUGUUAUACAAACAGAAUCCGGCUUAUGUCCGACUCUCUCCU